rnacentral:lncRNA from 1 species
AAGUCCUAAUUAUUUUUGAUCUAAUAAAUUAAGAUGACUCCUAAUUGGAUUAGGAUUGAAGAAUUUAAUUGAGUCAAGAUUCAAUUAGGUCAUAAUUGGAUUAGGACUCAUAUGGAUAAGUCCUAAUUGAUUCAUAAAUUGAUUGAGAUCUAAUUAGAUUAGACCUCAAUUGUGAGGGAAUUAAAAGGGGCUGAAAGUGGGGCCCACG